rnacentral:lncRNA from 1 species
CUGCAUAAGAAUAUAAUAUUGUCAAUGAGAACAUAUAGUAACUGAUUAAUAAACCUAAUAAGUAGGAGAUAGCAUAGGCUUAUAUAUUAAUGCGUUUGCAUGAAGAAAUUGUGCAACUUGUAUUGAUUUGCAUUUAGACAAAUCAUUUUUAAGAAUUUUAGUUUGGCUUAAUUACCUUAGAUUUGAUGUUGUUGUUUCUUAGUGAUGGUAGGGAGGAGGUGGAGACUUGUAAACCGGAGUUGGUGGUGGUGGAGACUUGUAUACUGGUGCAGGAUGGUGUGGUGUUGGUGAAGGAUGGUAUGGAUUCACUGGUGGUGGUGACUUGUAAACGGGUGUUGGUGGUGGUGGAGAUUUGUAUACUGGUGCAGGGUGGUAUGACUUCACUGGUGGUGGUGGUGACUGGUAAACGGGUGUUGGUGGUGGUGGAGACUUAUAAACUGGUGCAGGAUGAUAUGGCUUCACUGGUGAUGGUGGUGACUUGUAAACGGGUGUUGGUGGUGGUGGAGACUUAUAAAUUGGUGUGGGAUGAUAUGGUGUUGGUGGAGGAUAGUAUGGCCUCUUAGGUGGUGGUGGUGACUUGUAAACUGGAGUUGGUGGUGGUGGCGACUUGUACACUGGAGUGUGUGGCGGGUAGUAUGGCUUUUUGGGUGGUGGUGGGGACUUGUAAACUGGAGUUGGGGGUGGUGGAGACUUGUAAACUGGGGUGUGUGGAGGGUAGUGUGGUGGUGACUUGUAAACUGGAGUCGGGGGUGGUGGAGACUUGUAAACUGGGGUGUGUGGAGGAUAAUGUGGCUUCUUUGGUGGUGGUGGGGACUUGUAAACUGGAGUGUGUGGAGGAUAGUGUGGCUUCUUCGGUGGUGGUGGUGACUUGUAAACAGGAGUUGGUGGUGGUGGCGACUUGUGAACUGGUGCGGGAUGAUAAGGUGUUGGUGAAGGGUGGUAUGGCUUCUUAGGUGGUGGUGGAGAUUUGUAAACAGGAUGAUGAUGGUGUGGUGGAGGGGACUUAUAUACUGGGUGGUGAUG